rnacentral:tRNA from 1 species
GCGUCGGUGGUUCAGUGGUAGAAUACUCACCUGCCACGCGGAUGACCCGGGUUCGAUUCCCGGCCGACGCA